CUAGAAUUGUAGCAAGUGGUUGGCAGAAGAUGACAAAGAUUGCGUACAUGCAGACACGGAGCCACCUUUUACAGUUCUUCGUUUGAGAUACGCAAGAGACCUUUCUUUAUACACAAAUUGAUAGUUAUGUUAUAAUAACUACAGACCCCAGAUAAGUUUCACUAUCAAACUUGACAGACUUUACUAGAUCCAUUAUAUAGAUGGGGCAGGCGAUAGAUGACAGUAGUAUCAUAACUUAGUAGUCUCAUGUUGACCAUUGACUUUUCUUGUUUGGCUUACACAUGACUUGGAAUUCUUGUAACCUUCGAAUGGCGGCUCUAAGAAAACUUUUGUUUAACCAAUGCAGUAUAUCAGAAAUUAACAGAGAUACAAGAAGCCAAACUCCUGCGAUGGAAUAAAAGAGUUACUGUUUAAGUCACUACAUUGUUUAUUUGUUAUGUCAGUGGCGGCGUCCAAGUGGUUGAGAAAGUUUCAUCAACUCUUCUUCUUCUUUCUCCUGAGUUGCUUCUUCAGGUUGAGAAAGCUUCAUCAUCUCUUCUUCUUCUU